UACAGAGGUCUCAAGCGUUGUUCGGAUUCAUUGGGCGUAAAGGGCGCGUAGGUGGCGAGGCAAGUCAGAUGUGAAAUCCCGGGGCUCAACCCCGGAACUGCAUUUGAAACUGCCUUGCUCGAGUACUGGAGAGGAGACUGGAAUUUACGGUGUAGCAGUGAAAUGCGUAGAUAUCGUAAGGAAGACCAGUGGCGAAGGCGAGUCUCUGGACAGUUACUGACACUGAGGCACGAAGGCCAGGGGAGCAAACGGG
rnacentral:rRNA from 1 species